GAUGAACGCUGGCGGCGUGCCUAAUACAUGCAAGUCGAGCGAACAGACGAGGAGCUUGCUCCUCUGACGUUAGCGGCGGACGGGUGAGUAACACGUGGAUAACCUACCUAUAAGACUGGGAUAACUUCGGGAAACCGGAGCUAAUACCGGAUAAUAUAUUGAACCGCAUGGUUCAAUAGUGAAAGACGGUUUUGCUGUCACUUAUAGAUGGAUCCGCGCCGCAUUAGCUAGUUGGUAAGGUAACGGCUUACCAAGGCGACGAUGCGUAGCCGACCUGAGAGGGUGAUCGGCCAUACUGGAACUGAGACACGGUCCAGACUCCUACGGGAGGCAGCAGUAGGGAAUCUUCCGCAAUGGGCGAAAGCUUGACGGAGCAACGCCGCGUGAGUGAUGAAGGUCUUCGGAUCGUAAAACUCUGUUAUUAGGGAAGAACAAAUGUGUAAGUAACUAUGCACGUCUUGACGGUACCUAAUCAGAAAGCCACGGCUAACUACGUG
rnacentral:rRNA from 1 species